UAAAAGGGAAUCUUGGACCAUCAUAAAACAAAGAAGAACAAGACACAGGGUGAGGACCACGUCUCUGCUGAAUCCCAGCCCAGAGGAGCUUCUGGCAGACAGCUGACAUGCGGCAGGGUAACAUGAUGUGUGCUAUGACAACAGGCCAAAUGCAGGACAGACUGAUGAUCCGCUGUCUUCUCUGAAGCCAGGCUUUAAAAAGACCUGCACAAAGCUGAAGCAAUGCCACUCUUCUCACUGUUUGUUUUUAUUUUGGAAAAACAGUUAUUU
rnacentral:lncRNA from 1 species